CUACGGGGCGCUGCAGUGGGGAAUAUUGCACAAUGGAGGAAACUCUGAUGCAGCAACGCCGCGUGGAGGAUGACACUUUUCGGAGCGUAAACUCCUUUUAUAUAGGAAGAGGAUGACGGUACUAUAUGAAUAAGCGCCGGCUAACUCCGUGCCAGCAGCCGCGGUAAUACGGAGGGCGCAAGCGUUACUCGGAAUCACUGGGCGUAAAGAGCGUGUAGGCGGAUGAAAAAGUCAGAAGUGAAAUCCUAUAGCUUAACUAUAGAACUGCUUCUGAAACUCUUAAUCUAGAAUAUGGGAGAGGUAGAUGGAAUUUCUGGUGUAGGGGUAAAAUCCGUAGAGAUCAGAAGGAAUACCGAUUGCGAAGGCGAUCUACUAGAACAUUAUUGACGCUGAGACGCGAAAGCGUGGGGAGCAAACACGAUUAGAUACCCUAGUAGUC
rnacentral:rRNA from 1 species